CUGCUCUGAGGAUUGACAUGUACC
rnacentral:piRNA from 1 species